rnacentral:lncRNA from 1 species
AAAUUACAGUUACAAGUAUUACAAAACUUCCCUGACCUCUUUUCUUUAACCAUAAUAGAGGGAGGAGGGACGGAGGGAUCCAGAUCCCGAAAUCCCGGUGCUUAAAAACACGACAUCCCGAGGUCCUGAAUUUAAAAAAAUUUAAAUCCCGACUACCCGAAAUUCGGAAAUAGAAUUCCCGGAUCCCGAAAGGGUCAAUCCCGAAAUCCCGA